CAGUUGACUUUCAAUCAAGCGGUCGCAGGUUCGAAUCCUGCACGACCCAACAAUUUCCGCAAAUAACUCAGAUGCUGAACGUGAAGGAUAACGGUGCGUCAGCAACGGCCCGAAGGGCGAGGCAAAGCCGAGUCAUCCUGCACGACCUACCA
rnacentral:sRNA from 1 species